rnacentral:rRNA from 1 species
CCUACGGGAGACAGCAGUGGGGAAUAUUGCACAAUGGGGGAAACCCUGAUGCAGCGACGCCGCGUGAAGGAAGAAGUAUUUCGGUAUGUAAACUUCUAUCAGCAGGGAAGAAAAUGACGGUACCUGACUAAGAAGCCCCGGCUAACUACGUGCCAGCAGCCGCGGUAAUACGUAGGGGGCAAGCGUUAUCCGGUUUUACUGGGUGUAAAGGGAGCGUAGGCGGUUUAGCAAGUCAGAAGUGAAAGCCCGGGGCUCAACUCCGGGACUGCUUUUGAAACUGUUGAACUAGAGUGCAGGAGAGGUAAGUGGAAUGCCUGGUGUAGCGGUGAAAUGCGUAGAUAUUAGGAGGAACACCAGGGGCGAAGGCGGCUUACUGGACUGUAAAUGACGCUGAGGCUCGAAAGCGUGGGGAGCAAACAGGAUUAGAUACCCUUGUAGUC